CAGUUUCGUGCGGGGCCAGCUGGAGGCGGCGCUAUCGGGCCCCCGUGGCCGCCACAGCCUGGCCGGCCUGGGAUGACAAUGCUUGAGGAACCCUCGCUGGUGCUGCCCUCCUGCCCUCUGCUUGGAACACCUCCCCUAAGUAUCAGUGAGUGGACAUAUAUAUUUGGAUCAAUCGAGUUGCACCCUUUGCCUUCCAGAUCCAUUCCUCCGGCCUCCCUGGCUGGGCAGAAGGACAGCUCUGGACACUUGUGUCGGCACCCAGCCCACUUGUCCCUGCCACAGCUUCAUAUAAGAGAUCCUGCUGUUGCCCAGGCUAGAGUGCAAUGGCUAUUCACAGGGGUAGAUCUGCAUAGACCCUACACACCGUGGGACAGACAUGAAGCAUGCUGGCCCAGGAGGACACUUCGGAAGGGAAGAGAGGGCAGAAUUCCUGGCAACAGCCCCCGACGCUGGGUCAGGUAGGGUCUUACCUGAAG